ensembl:lncRNA
AUAAAUGCCAGGAAGAUACAUGGAGAGAGGAGCAUAUUUGAGAACAUGCAUAAGAACCUCAUGUUCUGCAGCAUUGUUCUGGGAACCUUCACCCUGCAGAUUAUCAUUGUCCAGUUUGGAGGGAAGCUGUUCUCCUGCAAGCCUCUCAGCAUGGAGCAGUGGGCGUGGUGUUUUUCAUCGGUGCAGGGGAGCUGCUGUGGGGACAGGUGAUCUCAACCACGCCAUCGCCCCACCUGGGGUUCCUGAAAGUGCCCAGUCAGACUGAAAGAGAGAGCGAGGUGCACAGGGAGGAACUGACAGAGGGCGCUGAUGGGACGGGGCUGGAGGGAGACCAGGUCCUCUGGCUCAGGGGCCCAAACCGCCGAGGUGACCGGUGGGACAGGCCAGCAACGCCUCCAUCUACAGCUGGGGAACGCUUCGCUGGCACCUUCGGGCUACGGGCAGGGAGAGUAGCCGGAGCUGGGCGUGUGUCCGUCCGCCGUAGCGCUGAGGCGGGCCGCUCAGCGGGAGGGGAGGCGGAGGUCCUUGUGCCGACAGCAGUGCCAGGUCUGGUGGUGGGGAGCUCCGUGGGCUCUGGAUGGUGAUGCCCGUUAUGGCAGGUAGCAGACUCAGCUCCGGUACGACGAUCCAGGGUCGUGCCAGGGCAGUGGAGGCUCCCAGAACGUCUCCGCACAGCCUCCUCUAGGAGCCUCCGGCGUGAAACAGAGGUCGAGGCCCGGGAUGACAGCUGCUGAUCCGGGACUGCAACCGGCGGGGACGCCGAUUCGGCGGUGUGUACAGCCGUCUCGGUGUCCAGCAGCGGAGGGGGAGCCGCCGGGCCAUUGGAGCAGGAAGUCGCUGACACGCCGUUGGCCGCUGGUGCGGAGAAAACUGCUGGCUUUUCUUCAGUCUGUGACAGGGCCAUGAAGCGGUUCGAGAGGGAGAGUGGGGGCGAGACGGCUUUGACUGGGGUCUUCUGCCUGCCCCGGAUCACUACCUCUGUCCACGAUCGCUGGCGGUUGGGUGUAGAGCAGGACGAGGGUCGUGGACAAGCGGGAUCCCAGGGUGCCGUGUCCUGGAAGGCCGCAGAGAGAGAGAGGCAAUCCUCAUGGACUGCUCAUGGGCCACCUCCAUAGUCC